GAUGAACGCUGGCGGCGUGCUUAACACAUGCAAGUCGAACGGAAAGGCCCAAGCUUGCUUGGGUACUCGAGUGGCGAACGGGUGAGUAACACGUGGGUGAUCUGCCCUGCACUUCGGGAUAAGCCUGGGAAACUGGGUCUAAUACCGGAUAGGACCACUUCUUGGAUGUUGUGGUGGAAAGUUUUUUCGGUGUGGGAUGAGCUCGCGGCCUAUCAGCUUGUUGGUGGGGUAAUGGCCUACCAAGGCGUCGACGGGUAGCCGGCCUGAGAGGGUGUACGGCCACAUUGGGACUGAGAUACGGCCCAGACUCCUACGGGAGGCAGCAGUGGGGAAUAUUGCACAAUGGGCGCAAGCCGGAUGCAGCGACGCCGCGUGGGGGAUGACGGCCUUCGGGUUGGAAACUCCUUUCGCUAGGGACGAAGCGUUUUGUGACGGUACCUGGAGAAGAAGCACCGGCUAACUACGUG
rnacentral:rRNA from 1 species